rnacentral:lncRNA from 1 species
UUGCAUUGCAUCUCCAUGAAUUUUUGUUCUCAUACCUAAAAAACGAAGGAAAAAUAUUUUUGCAUACCCAUGCAUUUGCAUACAUACGCAUACAUUUGCAUACCCUUUCCGCUUUCGACCUUCCUUCAACUAUCUAGCUAACAAACUUCCUGAAACUCACGAACGAACUCGAAGGACGUCCCAAGAAACCAUAUAGGGACUCAAGAAGGACAAGUACCAUUUGAAAGAGAAGGUAACCCUUUU